GCUUCAAAGUUCCAUCAUCUUGCAGAAAGAGCAGAGUUCUUGUGGCAUACAUUUUUGUGUUUGUUGUCGUAUUUAUUCUCCUCACAUACGGCAUCAGGAUGUCAUGAUGGUUCAAUAUGAAUAGCCUGUUAGUCUUGACUGCCUCAUCAACAGUUAGUCCAUCUAACUUGUCCUCUAUUUGCUCCCUGGUAAUUGUGCUAGUUUGGUUGCCAUAUAUUUUAGGAUCCAACUUGCUCUUUGGAGGGAAUUCUUGGAGUCUACUAAUUAUGACAGGAUUGAUUCCCGCUAGCAUUUCUCUUCCGAAUUCUUCAUCCGUCCUCCAGGCAGAUUUAUCCUCUUGGAUAACCUGAGGUGUCGGGUACUUGAGUAGGCCUUCACCAUCAGUAGAAAGGAGUUGUUUUAGUAUCUCCAAAGGAAUAGCAUCCACAAUGGCUUUAAACAAAGGCCCCUGAGGCAACUUGAUUCCUCCUUCAUA
rnacentral:misc_RNA from 1 species